GUAAGGAAGAGGUUUGCACUGCUGCAUGUCUACAUCUGCAUGAAUUCGAACAACUAUUCGACUUGUGACUUCCACAUAUUUUAUUCAUGCAGUUUCAGUGGUAUGUUGGGCUAUUCCACUAAAUAUCCGUACUCCCCCUGUCGAGGAUCCCUGGAAUUCUUCAGGGGUAUAAAGGGGUUUUGAGCUUGGAAUUCUUCAAGGGUAAAGGGUUUUGAGCUUGGGAUUCUUCAAGGGUAAAGGGUUUUGAGCUUGGAAUUCUUCAGGGGUAAAGAGGACAAGAGGUUUGGGAUUGAACUUUUUCAGGGCUUGGAAUUCUUCAAGGGUAAAGAGUUUUGACUUUUGAGCUUGGAAUUCUCCAAGGUUAAAGCUUGGAUUUCUUCAAGGGUAAAAGGUUUUGAGCUUGGAAUUCUUCAAUCAGGGGUAAAGAGGUUUGAGAAUUGAGAUAGAAAUUUUUCAGGGGUAAUUGGGGUAAAGGGUUUUGAGCUUGGAAUUCGUCCAGUGCCGUAGCCAGAACGAUAAUUGGGGGAAUAUUCAUAUAUUUGUGUUCUGCUUUAUUAAUUUCUUUUGAAAUCAAUUGUUUUUAUGGUAUGUGAACACGAAUAUAUGAAUAUUUGCCCCCCAAUUAUCGUUCUGGCUACGGCACUGAAUUCGUCAUCUCAUUUAAAUUAAUAAAUCAUUUUCAUACCUUUCUUUACUCCACUGCAUUCCGCCAUUAUCUAGUAACCACUGUAACCAAACUAGACAAACUAGCCAGCAUUUACUGCAUUAGGAAACUUUAAGAGUACACAAAGCACCACUCAGUGUCUCAGCUGCGCACGUAAAAUUUCUGGCGUUCCGCAAAACCACAGAUGUGGUAAGGUUAGUGUUUUGUUGACUAGCAAGACCCUGAGCAAGACAUUAUGCUAACGCUAAAUGACGUUUAAGGGUUUAUUUAAACUUGACGUUUCCGCUGUCAAAUAUGACGUAAUAAAACCAUAGCACAUGUUUUGAUAAAUGUGCGGCUAGUGCUAGUAGGAACAUUUAGUUCUAUAUCGGUAUUUGUUGGUAUUUGUGCUAACCAGGAUCUGUUUAUCAGUUUAUGCUAACCGGGAGAAAGUAAAGUUGGAUUUGUGAACAGAAGUGACUACGUUUAUACCUACGGAUAUCAGUCUAUUUUGAUUUGCAUGUAUAUAUCAUAACUAAUUUAGUAAUUUACAUUGUAU
rnacentral:lncRNA from 1 species